UGGGGAUGGGCAGGUCCCUCUAGGAGAGGAAUCUGUGCCCGUGCCAGCCCUGGGCUGGGGGGAACCAGCCUUCCCUCACCCUCCUCCCUUUUAGUCCUUGUUGCCAAAUUGGUUGUGAACAGAAUCCCAAGAUGUGCUGAGCUGGAAGGGACCCCCAAGGAUCAGGGAGUCCAACCCUCAGCCCUGCACAGGCCCAGCCCCAGGAGUCACCCCCUGUGCCCCAGAGGAUUGGCUCUGGAAAGAAGUCCCUGUGAAUGAACAUGCUCACUUCUCCUGUUGUUCAAACCAAAACAAAGCCCAAGCUCUGAGAAAUGAGAGUGACAUUUGCUGUUCGACGCUGGAGGCACAGACUGGAUCUGUUACAUUUCCCAGGAAUUGUGUUUCUGCGCUACAGAUGCGUGAAGGGGAAGAUAAACCUGGGAGCUGCCCUUCCUGCCAAUAGGCUGCAAGCAAGGAGUUGUCAAAAAUAAAUGCAUUACUCAGCUCCUUUGAGGUGCUUA